GGUAUGGGAUGAGCUUGCGUCCGAUUAGCUAGUUGGCGGGGCAACGGCCCACCAAGGCGACGAUCGGUAGCCGGCCUGAGAGGGUGAUCGGCCACAUUGGGACUGAGAUACGGCCCAGACUCCUACGGGAGGCAGCAGUAGGGAAUAUUGCACAAUGGGGGAAACCCUGAUGCAGCAACGCCACGUGUGGGAAGAAGCAUUUCGGUGUGUAAACCACUGUCAUGAGGGAAUAAGGCCCGCCUUCGGGCGGGAUUGAAUGUACCUUGAGAGGAAGCACCGGCAAACUUCGUGCCAGCAGCCGCGGUAAUACGAGGGGUGCAAGCAUUGUUCGGAAUUACUGGGCGUAAAGGGAGCGUAGGCGGAGAUUCAAGCGGAUUGUACAAUCCCGGGGCCCAACCCCGGCUCUGCAGUCCGAACUGGAUCUCUUGGAUAGUUCAGGGGCAGGC
rnacentral:rRNA from 1 species